rnacentral:lncRNA from 1 species
AACAAUUGAAAAUUUAAUGGUCAUGAUGGUAGUUAUUGACUUCACUGAAUGGCUUGGGGUUACAAAUAAGGCAUCCCCCUAAAGUAACAUAAAAUCCAAAUUUGUUAGCAUUUAAUUGCAAGUUUUUUCUGUUCUCUAACAUUAGUUUGCCUCAAACAAAUGUUAUGAAACUUAUACACAAUGCUUAUUACCACAUAAUACAGGCUUGGGCACAGGACAUUUUAGCGAGAGAGAAAAAAGACUACUAGGGAAUAUUUUAGCGCCUACAUUAGAGCCCAUUUUAGCAUGUGAUUACUCUGUUCUCCUGUAUUUUGGAUAGUCCAUUUUAGCGAAAGCUGACC